UACGAGGGGGGGCAAGCGUUGUUCGGAAUUAUUGGGCGUAAAGGGCGCGUAGGCGGCGGGGUAAGUCGGGUGUGAAAUCUCAGAGCUCAACUCUGAAAUGGCACUUGAUACUGCUCUGCUAGAGGACUGGAGAGGAGAUUGGAAUUCACGGUGUAGCAGUGAAAUGCGUAGAUAUCGUGAGGAAGACCGGUGGCGAAGGCGGAUCUCUGGACAGUUCCUGACGCUGAGGCACGAAGGCCAGGGGAGCAAACGGG
rnacentral:rRNA from 1 species